rnacentral:rRNA from 1 species
GACAGAGGUCCCGAGCGUUAGGCGGAAUCACUGGGCUUAAAGCGUGUGUAGGCGGACCUCUAAGUACCUUGUGAAAUCCCACGGCUCAACCGUGGAACUGCUUGGUAUACUGGUUGUCUUGGGCCAUCUAGGGGCGAGCGGAACAAACGGUGGAGCGGUGAAAUGCGUAGAUAUCGUUUGGAACGCCAAUGGUGAAAACAGCUCGCUGGGGAUGUGCCGACGCUGAGACACGAAAGCCAGGGGAGCGAACGGG